AAUAGAUACCCAGGUAGUCCACGCCGUAAACGUUGGGCGCUAGAUGUGGGGACCAUUCCACGGUUUCCGCGUCGUAGCUAACGCAUUAAGCGCCCCGCCUGGGGAGUACGGCCGCAAGGCUAAAACUCAAAGGAAUUGACGGGGGCCCGCACAAGCGGCGGAGCAUGCGGAUUAAUUCGAUGCAACGCGAAGAACCUUACCAAGGCUUGACAUAUGCGAGAACGCUCUAGAAAUAGAGAACUCUUUGGACACUCGUAUACAGGUGGUGCAUGGUUGUCGUCAGCUCGUGUCGUGAGAUGUUGGGUUAAGUCCCGCAACGAGCGCAACCCUCGUCGCAUGUUGCCAGCACGUAAUGGUGGGAACUCAUGUGAGACUGCCGGGGUCAACUCGGAGGAAGGUGGGGAUGACGUCAAAUCAUCAUGCCCCUUAUGUCUUGGGCUUCACGCAUGCUACAAUGGCCGGUACAAAGGGCUGCGAAACCGCAAAGGUGGAGCGAAUCCCAAAAAAGCCGGUCUCAGUUCGGA
rnacentral:rRNA from 1 species